UGAGCAACCUGCCCUUGACUCUGGAAUAACAGCUGGAAACAGCUGCUAAUACCGGAUACGACCUCCGAUGGCAUCAUCUGGAGGUGGAAAGCUCCGACGGUCAAGGAUGGGCUCGCGGCCUAUCAGCUUGUUGGUGAGGUAACGGCUCACCAAGGCUUCGACGGGUAGCCGGCCUGAGAGGGCGACCGGCCACACUGGGACUGAGAUACCGGCCCAGACCUCUACGGGA
rnacentral:rRNA from 1 species